rnacentral:rRNA from 1 species
AACGAACGCUGGCGGCAUGCCUAACACUUGCAAGUCGAACGAGACCUUCGGGUCUAGUGGCGCACGGGUGCGUAACGCGUGGGAACCUGCCCUUAGGUUCGGAAUAACUCCCCGAAAGGGGUGCUAAUACCGGAUAAUGUCUUCGGACCAAAGAUUUAUCGCCUUUGGAUGGGCCCGCGUUGGAUUAGCUAGUUGGUAGGGUAAAAGCCUACCAAGGCGACGAUCCAUAGCUGGUCUGAGAGGAUGAUCAGCCACACUGGGACUGAGACACGGCCCAGACUCCUACGGGAGGCAGCAGUGGGGAAUAUUGGACAACGGGCGAAAGCCUGAUCCAGCAAUGCCGCGUGAGUGAUGAAGGCCUUAGGGUUGUAAAGCUCUUUUACCCGGGAUGAUAAUGACAGUACCGGGAGAAUAAGCUCCGGCUAACUCCGUG